UACGUAGGGUCCGAGCGUUGUCCGGAAUUAUUGGGCGUAAAGAGCUCGUAGGCGGUCUGUCGCGUCGGCUGUGAAAAUCCCGAGGCUCAACCUCGGGUCUGCAGUCGAUACGGGGCAAACUAGAGUAUUGCAGGGGGAGACUGGAAAUUCCGGGGUGUAGCGGUGGAAUGCGUAGAGAUCCGGAAGAACACCGGUGGCGAAGGCGGUGAGCUGGGCAGUUGCUGGACACUGAGGCGCGACAGCGUGGGGAGCAAACAGGG
rnacentral:rRNA from 1 species